CUGCCGCCGGCGACCGGCGCACGGGUGAGUAACACGUAUGCAACCUGGCCGUGACAGAUGGAUAACCGGGAGAAAUCCCGCCUAAUACAACAUAAUACCGGGAGGGGACAUCCCCUGCCGGCCAAAGGGGGCGACCCCGGUCACGGAUGGGCAUGCGGCGCAUUAGGUAGUUGGUGGGGCAACGGCCCACCAAGCCGACGAUGCGUAGGGGUUCUGAGAGGAAGGUCCCCCACAUUGGAACUGAGACACGGUCCAAACUCCUACGGGAGGCAGCAG
rnacentral:rRNA from 1 species